rnacentral:lncRNA from 1 species
CCUGCGGCCAUGCUGGGCUAGGACAAGAGGCAGAGGCAGAGAGACAGAGAGGAGCCACCCUAAGAAGAGAGACCAGAUACCCUUUUCUCAUCCUUUGAGUUCAACAGAUGUCUCUUCUGGUUGCAAGUGACAGAAGCCCACACAGAAAAGGCUCAGACCAAAGAGAAAUUUAUGGGCUCCUGAAACCGUAUGUCAGAGAGAGAUUGGGCCAGGGCUGGGAUGUGACCCCGGCUCUUUCUUGGUUUCUCCUCGCCGCUUCUCUCUCUCCUGCAGCCUCACAGUCUCAGACAGGAUUCUUUCAAGAAUUGCAAACUUGGCUGAAGACCUUCCUGUCCCCUUUCUUACCUCCCAUGUACAGGAUGGGGGUGAUGAUCCCACUUCUCUGACUCUCACCCAGAAGUUAGGAACUCCUUAAGCACUGGGCCCAGCUGACUACAGUUCCACAGGAAAAGGGGCUGUCUUAGUCACUUUUCAUCCACAUAGCUGCUAAGUUCAUGAGGGGACCCAGCUACGGGCUUUAACUGCUGGUAUGGCUGCCUAUCUGAGUGUGUGAGCUCUGACUCCAGACUAUAAUGCUCUCAUUGUCAGAGUGGAGGAUUAUCUACUCUAGAUGCCACAGUACUGAGUACAAUGUCAGGGAAAAAGGAAAAAAAACAGGUGUACUUUACUUUCUUUUUAAUGAAUCUGCUAGGGUUUGCAUGUGGCCCCCAAAGUUUAUGUGUUGGAAAGUUAAUCCCCAAUGCAAUAGUAUUGACAGGAGGCAUCUUUAAUAGGUUACGAUGAGUGGAUUAAUGUCAUGAGUGAAUUAAUGUCCUAGCUCAGGAGUGGGUUUCUCUUAAAGUAAGUUUGUCCCUCUCUUGCACUCUCUCACUCUGCCCUCACUUGCCCUCAGCCUUCUGCCAUGGGAUGAUGCAGUAAGAAGGCCCUCACCAGAUGCCACUGCCAUGCUCUUGUGUUUUCCAGCCCCCAGAACCAUAGGCCAAUGAAUUUCUAUGAUUUAUAAAUGAGCUAUCUCAGGUGUUCU